rnacentral:rRNA from 1 species
CACGUAGGGCGCAAGCGUUGUCCGGAAUUAUUGGGCGUAAAGAGCUCGUAGGCGGUUUGUCGCGUCUGCUGUGAAAACGCGAGGCUCAACCUCGCGCCUGCAGUGGGUACGGGCAGACUAGAGUGCGGUAGGGGAGAUUGGAAUUCCGUGGUGUAGCGGUGGAAUGCGCAGAUAUCAGGAGGAACACCGAUGGCGAAGGCAGAUCUCUGGGCCGUACUGACGCUGAGGAGCGAAAGCGUGGGGAGCGAACAGG